GAUUACCCCCAGAGCUGAAGGGCCAGAGAGGGGAUCAACUUCAACCCCUCUUCAGUCCCCGGGCUGCCGGCGAGGACUGGCUUCCGCCCGGCAGCCCCAGCGCAGGGGUCCGGGGCACCCGCCGCUCCUCUUGGCGUGGGGGAAAAGCCUUUACACCUCCGUAAAUCGCGUGAGAAGUGGCUACAAGCUCUGAUAAGGGCUCUUGGCAGCUCCUAAGGCCGUGUACGUUUUGGUUGGCCCAAGUUGUGUGUGCAGCGGGGUGAGGAAUUAAAAGAAAGUUCAGGCUCGGAAAAAAAACAAACAUAGUACCUUUUAUUCACACUUCACAAUACCCUACCAGCCUUCUCCCUUUCAGUCUGUCAGUAAGUAGAAUUAGUGUGUAUGAUAUAAACCCAGCCAUUAGAAGUUACUGAUAAUCAGACAUAUUGAUAUAAGUACUUUCGAGAUGUUUUCAGCUCUAUGGCUAACCUAAUUGUACCUUAAAAUAUGUUUAACCACUAUUACAGUUUAUAAACCAAAUUCUGUUACAUGAUGUGACUUAUAUGCAACUAAAAUUUAUCAAUGCAGUAGAAAUAAGAGCAACCUUAAUGGUCUAAAAGAUUAAAUAAAUUUUCUUGUUUGUUAGCCUGUUAUGAGAUUCACAAAUGGCAUUUCAUAGAAAAUAACAAUGUUGUGGAGUGUUGGGUAAAUGGGAAAAGUCCAUUGCUCCAGUCUUCAGCUGUGUGAACAUAUGUGCAUCAUGUACAUGUGUGUGUGUAUGAACACAUGGCUGUCUUUUGGGUUCUCUGUUUUCUUUUGCCUGGUGUACCAGUUUUAAGCUUUUUGCUUGUGUUUUCAGCCCUGAAGUACUCUGACUCAGACUUCACCUCUAUCAUUAAUACUUGUUGCCAUGUUAACUUGCUUCUCAGCAACAGUGUGCCUAUUUUGUCCCCCUCUUAUCCCAGCUGCCUAUUUUCUACUAGGUUGCCUUCAUGUAUGGAAUGCCUUUCUUUUGUAUUACCUAGAAGAAACAAAUUAUAUUGUUUCUAACACCAGCAAACUGUUAGAGAACCAUUAAGAGCAACCUGGGAACAGUUUCUGGAAACAAAGAAGGAAAGCAGAUCACUGCCACAUUUUUCAGAAAAUUACUUUUUUUGAAUACAAAUGUACAAGGAACUUUUGAACAUGCAUCGCAGCAACUAAAAGGUGCUCAACAAAGCAAUGCACUUACUUCAAACUAGAAAAGUAAUUGAUUACAAUGGUGAAGAAACUCCACUAAUAUCGAGGUAUGCUGGAUUACAUAAAAACCCCAUAUGAGGCUUCCUCACUUAGGAAACUGCUUUGGUUUGCAAUGUGUGUAUUGUCCAGAGAUGUCUCUAGUGCAUACUGCUCACUUCUCUGGAAGCUGAGUCAGACAGUUUCUGACAGAAAAGUAACUGAUGCACUCUUCUUAAUGUUUCCAUGUUUUUCAAUUAGUAGCUACAGUACAGAAUUAAUCAAAACUCAACAAUUAUUGGAUUAAUUCCAUUUUGAGGUAAAUCAGACAGCAGCUGGCAGCAAAAAUAGUUUAACCAUACUUCAUCUCAUAUAUGCACAUUCAUAAAAAGAAUGGUAUAAAAAGAUUAAGGUCUUGUAUAUCUAUAAACUGGGGACAAUAAAAAAGAUCUUCAGAAAACACUGUUUUGUUCAUGCACUGAAAUCACAGCAGUGUAUAAACUACUUUUUUUUCCAAAUACAGUGGGGUUUUUUAUUUUUAAGUUUCACAAGUAUUGAUCUUAAUUAAAGACAACAUAAAAUAUUUGCUUAGAAAUUAUUAUGUGGGUAAAUAUAAACAGGAUUGGUAGCAUAUUCUAAGAAGCAGUCUCACCUUUCUUAUUACAAUUAAUCCACUUAAAAUUCUUCAUAAUUCUAUCAUGACAAAAGUAGGAAAUUUUCAUAUCAUAUAUUUUCCUUAAAUUGGAAAACUGCAUGCAAAGAUAAGUUAAAUAAAAAUUGAGACUACUAAGAUUUGUCUGGUUAAGUCUGUUGAAUGGUAAUCAGAAAUUUGAAUUAGCUCUGGUCUGCCAUGGAGUUCUACAAGAAAGGAAGGGAAGCCUUGGAAGCUUCAUAGUCUACAUUGUUCUGUUGUUUUGGGACAAUUAACAAGUCUUUACCUUUUUCUGCUCCACUUUCCUGUUCAUUCCUCCCUCUGAUUCCCAACACUAGGUAUGUCCUUCCAUGCUUAAGCAGCUGUGCAAAAAGACAGUAUAUAAAUAUAUCUGUCAAUAAUAAUAUCUUGUCAUGUGCUUUACAACAGCUAUCUCAAUUUUCAUAUUUAUUAAAUCUGAUAAAAAUGUUUAAUUUUUGAAUAUAGCGUUGAUAAUUAUUUCUUGCUUUCCAGUUCUGUUUUGUUUUGUUUAACAUUUUACUGCAGCAUUGAGAAACCUGAAUGAGUACAUUCAGGUUUGAGAACAGAACUCAGGUAUGAGAACAAAUAAAUUGGGAAACUGCCUUUUGGGGAUAAAAUGCAUGAUGUAAUAGUAUUUAAUUUCCUAAAACUUUCCUUUAAUUUAAUAUUUUGAAGAUGAUGUUUAGAGUGAAAACUGCGUGUGUAAGAGUGUACUAGAACAUUGAGGAUUAAAAUAAAAAAAAACGGAAUUAAUGUACAUAAAUACACUGGAAUGAAAAUUAGUUUAACACAGGGAUAUUCCAUUGAAACCCAACCACUUUUCUUUUGAUGGUGGGAUUAAGUAAGGAAUAUAUCAACACUGACAAUAUGAAGCAGUGAUUGCCUUGGAGAAGGUGAAGAUAUGUGAACAGGGAAACAGCUUCCCAGAAGAACAGAACUAGAAGCAGCAGUCACUGAAGAGGAUUCCCUAGAAGAGCAGGCU